rnacentral:misc_RNA from 1 species
GGAAGGAUCAUUAACACUGCUCUCUGGGACUUUUCGUUCCUCUGGCAACAUGUCGGCUCCGGUGCGUUGUUGGCUCUCUAGAUUGGUGCUAUGCUGCAACUAAAGUUUUCUAUUAUACAACAACAUACAACUCUUAGCAAUGGAUAUCUUGGUUCCCACAACGAUGAAGAACGCAGCGAAAUGCGAUACGUAAUGCGAAUUGCAGAAUUCAGUGAAUCAUCAAAUCUUUGAACGCAAGUUGCGCUCUCGAGAUAUCCUUGAGAGCAUGCCUCUUUGAGUGUCGGUUUCCAUUACUUGGCUCCGCGAGAGCUAGUGAUUGCAGCUUCGUCGCUGGUCGAUGAUGCUGCUUCGAUCCACAGGGUGCCUGGUCUUCUUGAAUUUUCAUCCGUUCAAGAUCGGGAAACACCUCCUCAACCAACAGAUCUCAAAUGAGGUAAGACUACCCGCCGAAUUUAAGCAUAUAAUUAAGCGGAGGAAAAGAAACUAACUAGGAUUCCCUCAGUAACGGCGAGUGAAGCGGGAAGAGCUCAAACCGAAAAUCCCUGCUUGCGGGCAGCGAAUUGUGGUCUAUUGAGGCGUGUCUCAGUGUCGGUCCCGGCCUAAGUCCAUUGGAACAUGGCAUCGGAGAGGGUGAGAAUCCCGUCUUUGGCUGGGUCGCCGGCGCGUUCGAGCCGUCCUCGAAGAGUCGGGUUGCUUGGGAGUGCAGCCCUAAGUGGGUGGUAAAUUUCAUCUAAAGCUAAAUAUGUGUGGGAGACCGAUAGCGAACAAGUACCGUGAGGGAAAGAUGAAAAGAACUUUGAAAAGAGAGUUAAAAAGUACUUGAAAUUGCUGAGAACGAAGGGAUGGCGACUAGUAUUGGCCGUGGAGAUCCUGCGGGCGUGGGCUGGUGGCGUUUGCCGGUGUCGGAUUGCGUCAGCUUCCGCACUGGCAGAUCGGCUGUCCGCUCGUCCGCUUCGUCACCGUGUGUGCCUAGGUCAGAAUGGGUUCGCUUCCGAUUGAGAACGUCUCCGGCAAGGUAGCUCGAGUUUCGGCUCGAGAACUUAUAGGCCGGCGUCGCGAGAUCGUCGCGGUCCGAGGUGUCGAAACACGCGCUCUAAGCUGUAGGCGUGGCGGUUGCUGUCGUGUCGGCGUCGUCGGGGAACAAAGUUCCGCUGCGAUUGUCGGCCGGCACUCGGCCGUCCGUCCAUACGUCGUGUUGGCGAUUCUGACGAAAUGGUCGUCAUUCACCCGUCUUGAAACACGGACCAAGGAGUCUUACAUAUAUGCGAGUAACCAAGUGGAAAACUUGCUUGCGGAAUGAAGGUGAAUGAGUGUGAUCGACCGUCAGAAAGUCGAGCAACACCGGGCGGCUAAGAUAACUGUACGACCAUGAGCAUAUCUGUAGGGACCCGAAAGAUGGUGAACUAUGCUUGAGCAGGAUGAAGCCAGGGGAAACUCUGGUGGAAGUCCGAAGCGAUACUGACGUGCAAAUCGUUCGUCUGACUUGAGUAUAGGGGCGAAAGACUAAUCGAACUAUCUAGUAGCUGGUUCCCUC